AACGAACGCUGGCGGCAUGCCUAACACAUGCAAGUCGAACGGGAUCCGGACUUCGGUUCGGUGAGAGUGGCGGACGGGUGAGUAACGCGUGGGAACCUGCCCAGUGGUGGGGGAUAACUGCGGGAAACUGCGGCUAAUACCGCAUGAGCCCGCGAGGGGCAAGAUUUAUCGCCAUUGGAGGGGCCCGCGUUCGAUUAGGUAGUUGGUGGGGUAACGGCCCACCAAGCCGACGAUCGAUAGCUGGUCUGAGAGGAUGAUCAGCCACACUGGGACUGAGAUACGGCCCAGACUCCUACGGGAGGCAGCAGUGGGGAAUAUUGGACAAUGGGGGCAACCCUGAUCCAGCAAUGCCGCGUGAGUGAUGAAGGCCUUCGGGUUGUAAAGCUCUUUUGCCAGGGACGAUGAUGACGGUACCUGGAGAAUAAGCCCCGGCUAACUUCGUGUCAGCCGCCGCCGUAAAAC
rnacentral:rRNA from 1 species